ACCUUCCUUUUCUCAGGGCUGUGCUCCUCUCCAGUGAGCGUGCAGUGAGGGCGAUGCCCCUAAUACCCACGCAACUCACCCACACCCACUAGAGCUUUGCCUUACGCUGGUGCAAUUUUGGGAAAA
rnacentral:ncRNA from 1 species